rnacentral:rRNA from 1 species
UACGGAAGGCAGCAGUGGGGAAUAUUGCACAAUGGGCGCAAGCCUGAUGCAGCCAUGCCGCGUGUAUGAAGAAGGCCUUCGGGUUGUAAAGUACUUUCAGUCGUGAGGAGGGUGUUAAGGUUAAUAACCUUAGCAAUUGACGUUAGCGACAGAAGAAGCACCGGCUAACUCCGUGCCAGCAGCCGCGGUAAUACGGAGGGUGCGAGCGUUAAUCGGAAUUACUGGGCGUAAAGGGCACGCAGGCGGUUAAUUAAGUUGGAUGUGAAAUCCCCGGGCUUAACCUGGGAAUGGCAUUCAAGACUGGUUAGCUAGAGUCUUGUAGAGGGGGUAGAAUUCCAUGUGUAGCGGUGAAAUGCGUAGAGAUGUGGAGGAAUACCGGUGGCGAAGGCGGCCCCUGGGACAAAGGCUGACGCUCAUGUGCGAAAGCGUGGGGAGCAAAC